GGCGCCCUAGCCUGCCCGCAGGCCACAGCGCUUGGAAUCCUGCCUUCCCUGCUAUCUCCCUGAGGGUGGUUUUUUGUUUGUUUAUUUCGUUUUUCGUUUUUCUGUCUGUGCCUGCUCUUUCUUGGGUGCUGGCUUCUCCAAAACCAGUCUGGAAGGUUGGAGGAGUGUUUCUCAAUGAGUCUCCACCUUACUUAUUGAGACACAGUGUGUCACUGAACCUGGAGCUCACUGACUCAACUUGACUGGGUAGCCAACAAACCCUAGGGACCCUGCUAUCCCUCAGCUUCUCCAGGAUUGUGAUUCCAUGCAUGUAUCACCGUGCCCAGGACGUUCUGACAAAUGCUCUAACAUUAAGCCAAGUGAAAUCAGCCAGUGACAAAAAUACAAAUGUUCUGAUCACACUUAACUAAGGGCUCGGGUGUGGCGCAGUUGUAGAACACUUGACUCCAUAAAGCCAUGGAUUCCAUUGUCAGCAGUGCAAAAAGAAAUAAAUGAACUUAUAUUU
rnacentral:lncRNA from 1 species